rnacentral:rRNA from 1 species
UACGGAGGGGGCUAGCGUUGUUCGGAAUUACUGGGCGUAAAGCGCGCGUAGGCGGACCUGCAAGUCGGGGUUGAAAGCCCGAGGCUCAACCUCGGAACUGCCUUCGAUACUGCGGGUCUCGAGUCCGGGAGAGGUGAGUGGAAUUCCUAGUGUAGAGGUGAAAUUCGUAGUUAUUAGGAAGAACACCAGUGGCGAAGGCGGCUCACUGGACCGGUACUGACGCUGAGGCGCGAAGGCGUUGGGAGCAAACAGG